rnacentral:rRNA from 1 species
UAAGACAGAGGUGCCGAGCGUUAGGCGGAAUCACUGGGCUUAAAGCGCGUGUAGGCGGGCCGUUAAGUGCCUUGUGAAAUCCCACGGCUUAACCGUGGAACGGCUGGGCAUACUGGCGGUCUUGAGAGACUCAGGGGUCACCGGAACAGGCGGUGGAGCGGUGAAAUGCGUAGAUAUCGCCUGGAACGCCCGCGGCGAAAGCGGGUGACUGGGAGUCCUUCUGACGCUGAGACGCGAAAGCCAGGGGAGCGAACGGGAUUAGAUACCCCGGUAGUCCUGGCCCUAAACGAUGUCCACUAGAUCAUGGCGGCUCUGACGCCGUCAUGGUCGCAGCAAAAGUGCUAAGUGGACCGCCUGGGAAGUACGGUCGCAAGGCUA